UAUAGCUCAGUUGGGAGAGCAUGAGACUCUUAAUCUGAGGGUUGCAGGUUCGAGUCCCACAUUCGGCAAAA
rnacentral:tRNA from 1 species